rnacentral:rRNA from 1 species
GUAAGGAAUAUUGGACAAUGGACGCAAGUCUGAUCCAGCCAUGCCGCGUGAAGGAUUAAGGUCCUCUGGAUUGUAAACUUCUUUUAUAAGGGACGAAAAAAGGCUUUUCUAAGUCGUCUGACGGUACCUUAUGAAUAAGCACCGGCUAACUCCGUGCCAGCAGUCGCGGUAAUACGGAGGGUGCAAGCGUUAUCCGGAUUCACUGGGUUUAAAGGGUGCGUAGGCGGGCAGGUAAGUCAGUGGUGAAAUCCUAGAGCUUAACUCUAGAACUGCCAUUGAUACUAUCUGUCUUGAAUAUUGUGGAGGUAAGCGGAAUAUGUCAUGUAGCGGUGAAAUGCUUAGAUAUGACAUAGAACACCUAUUGCGAAGGCAGCUUACUACGCAUAUAUUGACGCUGAGGCACGAAAGCGUGGGGAUCAAACAGGAUUAGAUACCCGGGUAGUCC